rnacentral:tRNA from 4 species
GCGAAGGUGGCGGAAUUGGUAGACGCGCUAGCUUCAGGUGUUAGUGUCCUUACGGACGUGGGGGUUCAAUUCCCCCCCCUCGCACCA